UACGAAGGGGACUAGCGUUACUCGGAAUUAUUGGGCGUAAAGCGUGCGUAGGCGGCCUAGAAAGUUGGAAGUGAAAGCCUUGAGCUCAACUCAAGAACUGCUUUCAAAACUCCUAGGCUUGAGUUUCGGAGAGGAUAGCGGAAUUCCUAGUGUAGAGGUGAAAUUCGUAGAUAUUAGGAGGAACGCCGGUGGCGAAAGCGGCUAUCUGGACGAACACUGACGCUGUUGCACGAAAGCGUGGGUAGCAAACAGG
rnacentral:rRNA from 1 species